rnacentral:rRNA from 1 species
GAUGAACGCUGGCGGCGUGCCUAAUACAUGCAAGUCGAGCGAACGGACGAGAAGCUUGCUUCUCUGAUGUUAGCGGCGGACGGGUGAGUAACACGUGGAUAACCUACCUAUAAGACUGGGAUAACUUCGGGAAACCGGAGCUAAUACCGGAUAAUAUUUUGAACCGCAUGGUUCAAAAGUGAAAGACGGUCUUGCUGUCACUUAUAGAUGGAUCCGCGCUGCAUUAGCUAGUUGGUAAGGUAACGGCUUACCAAGGCAACGAUGCAUAGCCGACCUGAGAGGGUGAUCGGCCACACUGGAACUGAGACACGGUCCAGACUCCUACGGGAGGCAGCAGUAAGGAAUCUUCCGCAAUGGGCGAAAGCCUGACGGAGCAACGCCGCGUGAGUGAUGAAGGUCUUCGGAUCGUAAAACUCUGUUAUUAGGGAAGAACAUAUGUGUAAGUAACUGUGCACAUCUUGACGGUACCUAAUCAGAAAGCCACGGCUAACUACGU